rnacentral:rRNA from 1 species
UACGUAGGGUGCGAGCGUUAAUCGGAAUUACUGGGCGUAAAGCGUGCGCAGGCGGUUCGUUGUGUCCGUCGUGAAAGCCCCGGGCUUAACCUGGGAACUGCGAUGGAAACUAGCGAGCUGGAGUGUGGCAGAGGGGGGUGGAAUUCCGCGUGUAGCAGUGAAAUGCGUAGAGAUGCGGAGGAACACCGAUGGCGAAGGCGAGUCCCUGGAAAACUCCUGACACUGAGGCACGAAAGCUAGGGGAGCAAACAGG